GACGAACGCUGGCGGCGUGCUUAACACAUGCAAGUCGAACGAUGAACCGGAGCUUGCUCUGGGGAUUAGUGGCGAACGGGUGAGUAACACGUGGGCAACCUGCCCCAGACACCGGGAUAACCAUUCGAAAGGAUGGCUAAUACCGGAUACGACCACUUCGGGCAUCCGAUGGUGGUGGAAAGGAUUCUGGUCUGGGAUGGGCCCGCGGCCUAUCAGCUUGUUGGUGGGGUAAUGGCCUACCAAGGCGACGACGGGUAGCCGGCCUGAGAGGGCGACCGGCCACACUGGGACUGAGACACGGCCCAGACUCCUACGGGAGGCAGCAGUGGGGAAUAUUGCGCAAUGGGCGAAAGCCUGACUCAGCGACGCCGCGUGAGGGACGAAGGUCUUCGGAUUGUAAACCUCUUUCAGCAGGGAUGAAGCGAAAGUGACAGUACCUGCAGAAGAAGCACCGGCUAACUACGUGCCAGCCGCCGCGGUAAGAC
rnacentral:rRNA from 1 species